AGUGAACGCUGGCGGUAGGCCUAACACAUGCAAGUCGAACGGCAGCACAGUAAGAGCUUGCUCUUACGGGUGGCGAGUGGCGGACGGGUGAGGAAUACAUCGGAAUCUACUUUUUCGUGGGGGAUAACGUAGGGAAACUUACGCUAAUACCGCAUACGACCUACGGGUGAAAGCAGGGGAUCUUCGGACCUUGCGCGAUUGAAUGAGCCGAUGUCGGAUUAGCUAGUUGGCGGGGUAAAGGCCCACCAAGGCGACGAUCCGUAGCUGGUCUGAGAGGAUGAUCAGCCACACUGGAACUGAGACACGGUCCAUGCUCCUACGGGAGGCAGCAGUGGGGAAUAUUGGACAAUGGGCGCAAGCCUGAUCCAGCCAUACCGCGUGGGUGAAGAAGGCCUUCGGGUUGUAAAGCCCUUUUGUUGGGAAAGAAAAGCAGCAGGUUAAUACGCCGCUGUUCUGACGGUACCCAAAGAAUAAGCACCGGCUAACUUCGUG
rnacentral:rRNA from 1 species